rfam:Gossypium raimondii Chr09_contig_808, whole genome shotgun sequence.
UAUUUAAAAUUUUAUUCAUUUCUAUUGUUAAAAAUUGGUUAAAAAUUGGUGUGGUAGAUAGAACAAUCAAACAAUUACAUGUGACAUGUCACGUGUACCUCAUUUUGACGUACAAGGCAGUUCUUAACAUUAUAAAUGGAUGAAAUUUAUAACA